rnacentral:lncRNA from 1 species
AAAAUGAGUUGGGGUACGGGAUGCUGCUGCGAUAAAGAAAUGUUUAUUAGGCGAUUAUCCUUUGCCUUAAACGAAAGAAGCAGCUAUUAGGUGGUACAGACUAAGCGGCCUUGGGGUAAUGGUGAUUUCUUCACUGCAGCUCCUUGAAGAGUACUUCGGAUGAAUACCGAAUGGUGACUGGACUGCUAGCUGUCUUCCGCAGUCUUCCCCCAGCAGUGGAGUCGGAGGGGAGAAGUCCUUCUGCUGGAUGAUUCCCAGAGAAAACUGCGUCCUGACUCAACACGACUCCAAGAGCCCAGGUGCUGUGGGGGUUGUGAAGUUAUAUUGUCAUUAACAACCCUGUAAUCUGAAGCGUUUGUAUUUACAGGUGAAGAAAACACUGUGACAAUAACAUAAAUAUAUAGUCAAAAUCUUUGCUGGUCUCUGUGCGGGUCAUGCCCAAGUCCUGUUCCGAAAGUGAGUAAUGUUAGAGAGAAUGGCUGGUGCAUAAUGAUUUCCUUUUAAGAAGACAGCACCUCCGUCAGCAUGGUAACACCUAGUUUCACAAUCAGACAUUGAUUCAACAGUGACUCAAAGUGAGGAGCACUCCAAACUGAGUCAUCCACGGCACUUCCUACAGCAGUUCCUUAUGUUCAUCUUGCUUUAAAGUUGGAAGGAUUUUCACAGUGCUGUUGGGAAAACUCGCACGCAUUUGAGGGGCUGCCACUCCAGGUGGAUGCCCAGCUAAAAUGGAGUGGGCUUCGGCUCCUUGAGGCGUUGGAAAAGGACUGCGUUGUCAACAGUGAGCUCCUCACUACUCUCUAA